UCGAACGAUGAAGCCGGAGCUUGCUCUGGUGGAUUAGUGGCGAACGGGUGAGUAACACGUGAGUAACCUGCCCUUGACUCUGGGAUAAGCGUUGGAAACGACGUCUAAUACCGGAUACGAGCUGGGACCGCAUGGUCACCAGCUGGAAAGAAUUUCGGUCAAGGAUGGACUCGCGGCCUAUCAGUUAGUUGGUGAGGUAACGGCUCACCAAGACGACGACGGGUAGCCGGCCUGAGAGGGUGACCGGCCACACUGGGACUGAGACACGGCCCAGACUCCUACGGGAGGCAGCAGUGGGGAAUAUUGCACAAUGGGCGCAAGCCUGAUGCAGCAUCGCCGCGUGAGGGACGACGGCCUUCGGGUUGUAAACCUCUUUUAGCAGGGAAGAAGCGAAAGUGACGGUACCUGCAGAAAAAGCACCGGCUAACUACGCGCCAGCAGCCGCGGUAAUACGUAGGGUGCAAGCGUUGUCCGGAAUUAUUGGGCGUAAAGAGCUCGUAGGCGGUUUGUCGCGUCUGCUGUGAAAACCCGAGGCUCAACCUCGGGCCUGCAGUGGGUACGGGCAGACUAGAGUGCGGUAGGGGAGAUUGGAAUUCCUGGUGUAGCGGUGGAAUGCGCAGAUAUCAGGAGGAACACCGAUGGCGAAGGCAGAUCUCUGGGCCGUAACUGACGCUGAGGAGCGAAAGCGUGGGGAGCGAAC
rnacentral:rRNA from 1 species